GACCAGAACCUCUCUCUCCAAGAGAAGACAGCACUUUAGCCUCUGCUGGUACACAAACAACAGCUUCAGAAUACUCCUGACCAACAACCUUGACACUUGACAUGUUUGCUACUUAUGCUCAGGGGUGGAAGAGUAUGCAGCACCUACUAUGUUUGCACCCUGUUCCUGCUCAACUCAGUUUACCUCACCUGUGGUCUCGAAUUAGACACCCCCACAGACAAGUAGAUGCCAUGGUGGCAGGUCUUCUGGCCUUCUCUCUCAACCUCUUCCUGUCUCACGAGCAGCAACUGUUAGGUGUGAGCUGCAUUGCCUACAAAACUUUGCAGCAGGAGUAGGUUCAAGUACCUUGUGGUAAAUGCUACGUGGUCUGAACUGGCUUCCUUCUCUGAGCAAUCCAUUCCCUGAGCAGACUUACGGUCUGUCACGGGGUCUGUUUCUGAAGAAAUAUAGCUAAUGACAAUGUCGCCUUACUUAAGGACUAAAGAGGAUUUCCUGAUGCUCAGCAUGGGGGAAGGGCAUUCUCCAAGUCCUGAGAUCCUGCCCGGGCUUGUUCCAGCCAUGGCAGGGGAGCUGAGAAUGGUGGAAGGAAGAAUAAUAAUUGGCUGUGUGUUGGCUGGGAGGGAGGGAGUGUCAGGGAGCUCUUGUGCCUCCAUUGGACUCUCCUCAUGUAGCCAAUGGGGCAGGACUGACUAACCUGCUUCUUUUAGGCUGAAGGUCAGCAAACCUUUCCGGACAGGAAAUGAGUACUUUCAGCUUUGAUGGCUUCCUAUCUCUGUACAUCUAGCCAGGACUGCCAUCUUAGCAGAGAGCAUUAGUUGACACACACAGGAAGAAGAUGGCUGUCUGCAAUCAAACCAUGUCCAUGGACACUGGAAUUUCAGCAUCUUGCAUUUUUUUAAGACUAUAAAAUGAUGUUCUUUAUAAAUCUUUCCAAUCAUUUCAAAGCGUAAAAUCCACUCACAGGAUGACAAGAUGCCUGAGUGACUGAAGAUGCUUGCUACCAAGCCCUGGUGAUCUUAGUUUAAUUUCUAGAACCCACAUAGACGAAGAGGAGAAUAGACUCGCCGACAUUGAACGUUGUCCUCAGACUCCCACAAGCAUGUCCCAUGCACACACAAGCACACACAAGUCAAUCAAACAAUAAAAAUGAAUAAACGCACUUUUUAAAUGAAUGAGAAAACUGACACCAUGCAUAGCCUCCAGGUGUAUGAAAGCAAGGAAGAAGUAGACGCUGUCCGUUGCAGGCUGUCUUGGUUAUUGUUUUAUUGCCAUAACAAAGCAUCAUGACCAAGGCAGCUUGUAAAAGAAAGAAUUUAUUUUGGGGAUCAGAGUUCCAGAUUGU